rnacentral:rRNA from 1 species
CCUACGGGAGGCAGCAGUGGGGAAUAUUGCACAAUGGGGGAAACCCUGAUGCAGCGACGCCGCGUGAGUGAAGAAGUCAUUCUUUAUGUAAAGCUCUAUCAGCAGGGAAGAAACUGACGGUACCUGAGUAAGAAGCCCCGGCUCACUCCGUGCCAGCAGCCGCGGUAAUACGUAGGGGGCAAGCGUUCUCCGGAUUUACUGGGUGUAAAGGGAGCGUAGACGGCAGUGCAAGUCUGGAGUGAAAGGCGGGGGCUCAACCCCCGGACUGCUCUGGAAACUGUACGGCUGGAGUGCAGGAGAGGUAAGUGGAAUUCCUAGUGUAGCGGUGAAAUGCGUAGAUAUUAGGAGGAACACCAGUGGCGAAGGCGGCUUACUGGACUGUAACUGACGUUGAGGCUCGAAAGCGUGGGGAGCAAACAGGAUUAGAUACCCUUGUAGUC